rnacentral:lncRNA from 1 species
CAGAGGCUCCAGCUGUGCAGAGAACAGACACAAACCUACAACUGAGAUAACAGCAGACUUUACAACAGUAGAAGUUACAACAGUAGAAGUUACAACAGUAGAUGUUACAACAGUAGAAGUUACAGCAGUAGAAGUUACAGCAGUAGAAGUUACAGCAGUAGAAGUUACAGCAGUAGAAGUUACAACAGUAGAAGUUACAGCAGUAGAAGUUACAGCAGUAGAAGUUACAACAGUAGAAGUUACAGCAGUAGAAGUUACAGCAGUAGAAGUUACAACAGUAGGAGGUACAGUAGUAGAAGUUACAGCAGUAUAAGUUACAACUGAGAUAACAGCAGAGUUUACAACAGGAGAAGUUACAGCAGUAGAAGUUACAGUAGUAGAAGUUACUUCAUUUGAGCACAGUUGUGUAAAGAUGUCAGAGGAAAUCUAUGAAAACAGAGAUGGAUUUAAAGGGAAAAAACCAGAUGAGACCAUGAAUAUUGAUGAUCAUAUACCCAUCAACAAAAGACCCAUCAUGCCCUGCAAGAAGGAUGGAGUUGGUGAUCAACAUUCAGUGUUUUGUCAGUGGUGGAAGAGAUACUCUGGAGCUGCUGCAGUGUGUCUGGGGCUGCUGUGUGUUCUCCUACUGGCUGGGAUCAUAGGCCUCUUACUCUACCAGAGAAACCAAUUGACCAGCUCCAACACCAUGACCAAAGAGAGAUACCAGUUACAGAUCAGCGGAAACAACCUGACUGAAGAGAGAGACCAGCUACAGACUAGCAACAACACGCUGACCAAAGAGAGAGACCAGCA